rnacentral:misc_RNA from 1 species
GAUGAAGAACGUAGCGAAAUGCGAUACGUAAUGUGAAUUGCAGAAUUCAGUGAAUCAUCGAAUCUUUGAACGCAUAUUGCGCUCUCUGGUAUUCCGGAGAGCAUGCUUGUUUGAGUAUCAGUAAACACCUCAACUUCCAUAUCUUUUUUGAAAUGGGAGUUGGACUUGAGUGAUCCCAACGCUUUUCCUCACCGAAAAGUGGCGGGUUACUUGAAAUGCAGGUGCAGCUGGACUUUUCUCUGAGCUAUAAGCAUAUCUAUUUAGUCUGCCUAAAAAACAGAUUAUUACCUUUGCUGCGGCUAACAUAAAGGAGAUUAGUUCUUGUGCUGACUGAUGCAGGAUUCACAAAGACGGCUUCGGCCGACUUUGUAAACUCGAUCUCAAAUCAAGUAAGACUACCCGCUGAACUUAAGCAUAUCAAUAAGCGGAGGA